rnacentral:misc_RNA from 1 species
GAAAUGCGAUAAGUAAUGUGAAUUGCAGAAUUCAGUGAAUCAUCGAAUCUUUGAACGCACCUUGCGCUCCUUGGUAUUCCAUGGGGCAUGCCUGUUCGAGCGUCAUUUGUACCCUCAAGCUCUGCUUGGUGUUGGGUGUUUGUCCCCGUCUCCGCGCGUGGACUCGCCCCAAAGUGAUUGGCAGCCGGCGUACUGGUCCCGGAGCGCAGCACAUGUCGCGCAAACGAGUGCCUUGGUACGGCGGCGUCCAUAAGCCCCUCUCUCACGCUCUUGACCUCGGAUCAGGUAGGGAUACCCGCUGAACUUAAGC